AUGACUUCCAUUGAAUCACUCUAUCUUUCUGGAAACAAUUUCACAUUAGUUCCAUCAUGGUUUUGCAACUUUGAAAAACUUACUCAUCUUGAUCUUUCUCGCAAUAGUUUAACUUCCAUUCCAUCAUGGUUUGUCGAUUUUAAGAGACUUGUGUACCUUGAUCUUAGUAGAAAUGGGCUUAUUGGUCAAGUACAUUCUUGUGCUUUCACAAACUUGACAUCACUUGUGCAUCUUGAUCUCUCCUGGAACCAACUUGAUUCAAUUUCGUAA
rnacentral:lncRNA from 1 species